rnacentral:rRNA from 1 species
UACGGAGGGUGCAAGCGUUGUCCGGAAUCACUGGGCGUAAAGGGCGCGUAGGCGGCUCAUGAAGGCUGUGGUGAAAGUCCGGGGCUCAACCUCGGAUCGGCCGUGGCGACUCGUGGGCUGGAGCACUGUAGAGGCGGGUGGAAUUCCGGGUGUAGCGGUGGAAUGCGUAGAGAUCCGGAAGGACACCAGUGGCGAAGGCGGCCCGCUGGGCAGUGGCUGACGCUGAGGCGCGACAGCGUGGGGAGCGAUCCGG